GAUGAACGCUGGCGGCGUGCCUAAUACAUGCAAGUCGAGCGAACGGACGAGAAGCUUGCUUCUCUGAUGUUAGCGGCGGACGGGUGAGUAACACGUGGAUAACCUACCUAUAAGACUGGGAUAACUUCGGGAAACCGGAGCUAAUACCGGAUAAUAUUUUGAACCGCAUGGUUCAAAAGUGAAAGACGGUCUUGCUGUCACUUAUAGAUGGAUCCGCGCUGCAUUAGCUAGUUGGUAAGGUAACGGCUUACCAAGGCAACGAUGCAUAGCCGACCUGAGAGGGUGAUCGGCCACACUGGAACUGAGACACGGUCCAGACUCCUACGGGAGGCAGCAGUAGGGAAUCUUCCGCAAUGGGCGAAAGCCUGACGGAGCAACGCCGCGUGAGUGAUGAAGGUCUUCGGAUCGUAAAACUCUGUUAUUAGGGAAGAACAUAUGUGUAAGUAACUGUGCACAUCUGGACGGUACCUAAGCAGAAAGCCACGGCUAACUACGU
rnacentral:rRNA from 1 species